rnacentral:lncRNA from 12 species
AUGGUCCCCUCACCCCCAACUCAGGGCUCUCCCAGCAAGGCCGGCUUGGUGGCGGGCUCUGACGGCCGCACCCUGCGUGCCCGGCGGCUCGGUGGGGACCUCGGGCUGUCGCCCCCUCCUGUUUCCUGUACCUGGAAGCUGCGGCCCCGCAGGUCACCGAGGGGGGGGAGUCGGGCCGCCGUGGGGGGGGCUGUCGGGACCGGCUUGCCACACCCAGCGCGAGCGGCCCUCCCUGCGGGCAGGAGCGGCGGGCGGUGCCGACCGUGCCGGUCCAGCCCGGAGCCGUCGGGAGCCUCCUCGGCGCGGCCUCUCCCAACAGCGCGGGGCGGAAGGGGCCACCACUGCGCCCGCUAUGCCAAUGGGGAAACUGAGGCCUGGAGAGGAGCGGCGCCUUGUCGGGUCACGCCGAGGUGCAAAAGCCGUCCCCCGCGCCCCGCCGGGCCCCCCGCGCCCCGCCGAGACCAGCAUCCCUCCCUGGGCGCUGCAGCCCGAGGCGCAGCGCGCCCGCACCGUGGGCACCGGGAGGGCUCGUCUGGCGUCGCGGGGCCGCCCUACCUUGGUGACGACCGCGCAGGUGGCGGUGGUGGCGGCCGCUCCGGCUCCGGCUCGGGCUCAGGCUCCGCGCUCCUCGCCGCCCGCCGAGUACCCGCGCGGGGAGCCGCCGCCUCCUGCCCCCGCAGCCGGGAGGGCGGGGCCGAUGGGCGGGGCGGGGCACGAGCCCCGCCGCGCGCCCCGGGCCCCCUCCUUCCCCUGUCGGCCCGCGCUCCUGGCCCCCGGGACCGGCCUCGGGGCGCGCGCACGCGCACUCGCCGCAGUGAUGGGGCGGGCUGCCCGGCGGCCGCGCGGAGGCUGGGGGUGGGGGCGUCCCCUCGCUGCGCGCCGCGGGGCGGGGGUCUUGACCUCCCGAGCUCCGCUGCCCCCUGGGUGGGGUGGAACCGGAACCGUAGCCGUGCGUGCGUGCGAGACCGGCCUGGGACCUGCACGAGACGCUGGGUGCCCGGCCCGGCCAAGUGCGCGCGCAGAGCCCGCCACGGGGGCGGCGCCUGGUGA